GAUGAACGCUGGCGGCGUGCCUAACACAUGCAAGUCGAACGGAGAUUACGGACGGAAGUUUUCGGAUGGAAGACUGUAAUUCUUAGUGGCGGACGGGUGAGUAACGCGUGGGCAACCUGCCCUAUACAGGGGGAUAGCAGCUGGAAACGGCUGGUAAGACCGCAUAAGUCGGCGAGACCGCAUGGUUUUGCCGGGAAAUGAGCAAUCAGGUAUAGGAUGGGCCCGCGUCCGAUUAGCCAGUUGGCAGGGUAAAAGCCUACCAAAGCAACGAUCGGUAGCCGGACUGAGAGGUCGGACGGCCACAUUGGGACUGAGACACGGCCCAAACUCCUACGGGAGGCAGCAGUGGGGGAUAUUGCACAAUGGAGGAAACUCUGAUGCAGCGACGCCGCGUGAGUGAAGAAGUAUUUCGGUGUGUAAAGCUCUAUCAGCAGGGAAGAUGAUGACGGUACCUGACUAAGAAGCCCCGGCUAACUACGUG
rnacentral:rRNA from 1 species